UGGUCAAACUAUGGUUAUGGACGAACUGCCCUUCACGUAUCUUGGCCUUGAAGAGCCUUUUAGAUACUUCAAACCAUGUUGCGUGACUUUGUUCACCCUACAACUCUUGCAUGUGAUUCAAUAUAUCCCCGGCAGUCUUCAUGUUCUAAUGCUGGCAUUAAAGUUCAUUGGACAUUGAUGCCAUUAUAUAGCACCUAAUUUUAUUGUCAUUGUUCGUCCACUUGUCAUGCAUCUUAUGCUGAUCAGUGAUCAGAC
rnacentral:lncRNA from 1 species